rnacentral:SRP_RNA from 1 species
GCCAGGCACGGUGUUGUGUGCCUGUGGUCCCAGCUGCUCGGGAGGCUGAGGUAGGAGGAUUGCUUGAGCCCAGGAGUUUUAGGCUGUAGUGCGCUAUGCCGAUUGGGUGUCCACACUAGGUUCAACAUCAAUAUGGUGACCUCCCGGGAGUUGGGGACUACCAGGUUGCCUAAGGAGGGGUGAACCAGCCCAGGUUGGAAACGGAGCAGGUCAAAACUCCCAUGCUGAUCAGUUUUGGGAUCGCGCCUGUGAAUAGCCACUGCACUCCAGCCUGGGCAACAUAGCGAGACCCCGUCUCU